rnacentral:sRNA from 24 species
GAGUCGAUAAAGAACGCGAGAUGCGUAUAUUUAUCAGGGGACAUCUGCUUUUAAUAGCAAGGCACGGGAAGUGUUGAUGUUUUGGAAGACCUAUUGUGAACGUGGAAUUCCAAC